rnacentral:rRNA from 1 species
CGGGGCAACCUGGUGGCGAGUGGCGAACGGGUGAGUAAUGUAUCGGAACGUGCCCAGUAGCGGGGGAUAACUACGCGAAAGCGUAGCUAAUACCGCAUACGCCCUACGGGGGAAAGGGGGGGAUCGCAAGACCUCUCACUAUUGGAGCGGCCGAUAUCGGAUUAGCUAGUUGGUGAGGUAAAGGCUCACCAAGGCUUCGAUCCGUAGCUGGUUUGAGAGGACGACCAGCCACACUGGGACUGAGACACGGCCCAGACUCCUACGGGAGGCAGCAGUGGGGAAUUUUGGACAAUGGGGGCAACCCUGAUCCAGCAAUGCCGCGUGUGCGAAGAAGGCCUUCGGGUUGUAAAGCACUUUUGGCGGGAACGAAACGGUGCCGGAUAAUACCUGGCGCCACUGACGGUACCCGCAGAAUAAGCACCGGCUAACUACGUGCCAGCAGCCGCGGUAAUACGUAGGGUGCAAGCGUUAAUCGGAAUUACUGGGCGUAAAGCGUGCGCAGGCGGUUCGGAAAGAAAGAUGUGAAAUCCCAGGGCUCAACCUUGGAACUGCAUUUUUAACUCCCGAACUAGAGUAUGUCAGAGGGGGGUGGAAUUCCACGUGUAGCAGUGAAAUGCGUAGAUAUGUGGAGGAACACCGAUGGCGAAGGCAGCCCCCUGGGAUAAUACUGACGCUCAUGCACGA